ensembl:lncRNA
UUGUAAUGCUUUUUUUAUUAAUAUUUGAAAAAACUGUGGCAUUCUCAUAUUAAAGAGACCCAGGGUCCACCCUUCUCUUGGCUCAUUUAAGGGCUAGCCUUCAAUGGGAGAACGUCUUCUGGGCAAUGGCUACUUUCUGAGAAGAAGUGUUUUGUAGUCAGAAACUGAAUCACUGCUUAGGUGGAAGCCCCCCUUUCGACAGAAUGAUGACUCCUGCUCAGGACAAAGCAGUUUGUCAAGUUGUAACUCCAGGAAGUUCGUAACUAAGCAAUAGGUCAGCUGUUGAAAAGUUCAGAUCUAAAGAUGCUCAUUUGGGAAACUUCUGACAAGAAGUUCUCUGAGGCCUGCUCAGCCUACACAGAAGAAUCUAUCAAGAGAAACCUUCAAGUCUCACAGAGGAGGAGAUAUUUAUGUGGUCUAUAUGGUCAAAUAUAUAUAUGUAUAUCGAAUUCUGUGAUCAGAUCAGAAAGCCAACUGUAUCCUCGGUUGCAUCAAGAGAAGAGUGACCAGCAGGUUGAAGGAUGUGAUUCUGUCCCUCUACUCUGCUCCACCUGGAAUACUGCAUCCAGUUCUGGAGCCCCCAACACAAGGAGGACAUGGAGUUGUUGAAGCAAGUCCAGAGAGCUGGCUAGCGUGUAAAACACUCUACAACACUCUGCAAAGAGUGUAAAAUGCUGCAAAACAGCCUAAUCUCUACUGUAGCAUUCUGCUUUGAUAUUGAUGAUAACUUGAUGAAGUAACACAUGAAAAACUGUUCCAGAAAGUGCAAGAGAGGAAGAAAGAAGAAACAAAGACAACAUACUUCUUUUUCCCUCAAAAAUCAGGUAUGGAAGUAGGAAAAAAAGAAAACAUUACCUUCCCCACUGCCAGAACAAAGCAACAAACCAACACCAAAAUCCUAAAAAGUAGAAAGAUUGACCAAUAUUUUCAAAAGUGCCUGGUUGUUUCAGAUGUGCAGUUUGAGAAGUUUGGUUCUCAUCUGGGGACGAAUUCACUCUGGACCUCAGGUUAAGUUAUGAAGGAUCUGGCACCAACUGGGUAUCUUUGAGGCAACAUGAGCAACUGGAAGCACUUACUGCAUUCAAACUUGUCAGUUUUUCACCUGUGGUAUUUUCUGGUCAGGUCAAGAAGUGCUUUCAGUGGAACUACAACAUCUAGAACAAAAAUUUGACACAGGUUGCCCUCAAGGCACUCACUGAUCUGAAGGGGUAAAGCAUGAGCACUGUAACAAAGAGUCUGAAGAAAGACCCUAGAGAAGGUGAAGAUGGGACUAGAGAAGAAGAGGCUCCAUUGUACUCAACAGCUGCAUAAAAAGUUUUCUAUCAAUAGCCCUAACAGGGAAAGUGAGCUAUCAGGUGCACAGGUCUAGAGAAGCUAAGGAAUUUAUGGUAGAUAUAUCUAGAUUUCCAUAAUUAGGCUCUCAUUAAGUACCUAUAUCUUAAUCAGAUAUAAAACCCAGUAUAUCCAUGACUUUAUCCAGUCCCUUGAGCACAGAUGGACAGUAGAACUGACCUCCUAGUUUUGUAAAAUGACAAAAGUAUCAAAAUGCAUUAAAUUCUUAUUACUUCAUCAGGCCACACCAACCAUACUCUUCUCAAAAUAACAUUAAAUCCUACUUAUGGUUACCCAGUAGGUCUGCGUGCAAUUGCCUUGCUCAUUUGGAUGUAUCAGCUUCUUUCUAACAACAGCUUGUUGAUCUUUAGGAAAUUUUAGCUGCAAGUAUGCAAAUCUGCUAUACUGAUCUAAAUAUUUCCUCUUCUUUUCACCUAAUAAAAUAGAAACACAUAUUCAGAAUUCCU